UCUCUUUUCUCUCCAGCCAGCGCACUUCCUUCUCACUCAAAGAAGUUUCUCUUCUUCAUGUAUUCUCUCAUUUCCUUCAACCACCACGUCCUUAGUCAUAUGAUUCUCUAUUCUUUAGCUACCUCUUCCCCACCUUCCCUUGACGAAAAUUCUUGCAUAAUUCAUAAUUAGAAGAAUUUCCUCCCAAGGAGAAGCAAGACGACAACGAGAAGAAAAAAGAGUGGGUAUGGUCAAGAAAAAGACAAAUUAUGAUUUUAGUGGAAAAUAGAAAGUAAAGAGUGAAGUGACGCGACACGUGGUACGAGACUCCACAGCGAGCCACGUAAGGGGGGACAAAGAAGAGAAGGUAUGGACAAUGGUUUCCGCGGUCGAGCCACGCUUUCAGAAUUCUGAUUGGCACUGGGUUAUCUUGUGGAACCCAUCUGAAAGAUAUUUUUGGUUGUCGUACGGAUUUGUUUAUUUCGGGUUUGUUGAAUUAGUUUGUUUCGGUUUUAUACACUAUUUUAGGAAACUUUUUUUUAUAUUCUUUAUAGUGAACUGGG